CAUUCACGGAGAGUUUGAUCCUGGCUCAGGACGAACGCUGGCGGCGUGCUUAACACAUGCAAGUCGAACGAUGAACCACUUCGGUGGGGAUUAGUGGCGAACGGGUGAGUAACACGUGGGCAAUCUGCCCUGCACUCUGGGACAAGCCUUGGAAACGGGGUCUAAUACCGGAUACUGAUCAUCUUGGGCAUCUUGGAUGAUCGAAAGCUCCGGCGGUGCAGGAUGAGCCCGCGGCCUAUCAGCUUGUUGGUGAGGUAAUGGCUCACCAAGGCGACGACGGGUAGCCGGCCUGAGAGGGCGACCGGCCACACUGGGACUGAGACACGGCCCAGACUCCUACGGGAGGCAGCAGUGGGGAAUAUUGCACAAUGGGCGAAAGCCUGAUGCAGCGACGCCGCGUGAGGGAUGACGGCCUUCGGGUUGUAAACCUCUUUCAGCAGGGAAGAAGCGAAAGUGACGGUACCUGCAGAAGAAGCGCCGGCUAACUACGUGCCAGCAGCCGCGGUAAUACGUAGGGCGCGAGCGUUGUCCGGAAUUAUUGGGCGUAAAGAGCUCGUAGGCGGCUUGUCGCGUCGGUUGUGAAAGCCCGGGGCUUAACCCCGGGUCUGCAGUCGAUACGGGCAGGCUAGAGUUCGGUAGGGGAGAUCGGAAUUCCUGGUGUAGCGGUGAAAUGC
rnacentral:rRNA from 1 species